UACGAGGGGUGCAAGCGUUGCUCGGAAUUAUUGGGCGUAAAGGGUAGGUAGGUGGUCUCAUUUGUCCGGGGUGAAAGCCUUGAGCUUAACUCAAGAAGUGCCCCGGAAACGGUGAGACUGGAGUCCUGUAGAGGCGGGUGGAAUUCCGGGUGUAGCGGUGGAAUGCGUAGAGAUCCGGAAGAACACCAGUGGCGAAGGCGGCCCGCUGGGCAGUGGCUGACGCUGAGGCGCGACAGCGUGGGGAGCAAACAGG
rnacentral:rRNA from 1 species